UACGUAGGGUGCGAGCGUUAAUCGGAAUUACUGGGCUUAAAGCGUGCGCAGGCGGUGAUGUAAGACAGGUGUGAAAUCCCCGGGCUUAACCUGGGAACUGCAUUUGUGACUGCAUCGCUGGAGUGCGGCAGAGGGGGAUGGAAUUCCGCGUGUAGCAGUGAAAUGCGUAGAUAUGCGGAGGAACACCGAUGGCGAAGGCAAUCCCGUGGGCCUGCACUGACGCUCAUGCACGAAAGCGUGGGGAGCAAACAGG
rnacentral:rRNA from 1 species